rnacentral:rRNA from 1 species
GGUACAUCCUGCCCAGUGAUUUAUUAAACGGCCGCGGUAUCCUGACCGUGCAAAGGUAGCAUAAUCAUUUGCCUAUUAAUUGUAGGCUAGUAUGAAUGGACAAACGUGAACUUUACUGUCUCCUCUAAGUAAUUAAAACUUUAUAUCCAAGUGAAGAAGCUUAGAUACUCUCGCAGGACAAGAAGACCCUAUAGAGCUUUACCUUUAACCUUAAAAUAUAAGCUAACUGGUUCGGUUGGGGCGACCAAGGAAUUCAAAACAUCCUUAAACACAUUAGAUAUACAAAUCAUCCUUAAAGAUCCUUACUAAAGAUCACUGGAAUAAGCUACCUUAGGGAUAACAGGCUAAUUCCUCUAGAGAGCCCUUAUUGACAGAGGAGGUUGGCACCUCGAUGUUGGCUUAG